rnacentral:lncRNA from 1 species
CUUGAAUGUUUUGCACUGGGAUCACGUGUUACUGACCACAGUUUUAAAAGGGCAGAACAUCACUGGGCAGAGAAGACAGAAAGGAAGGAAAAUGUACCUGUGGGAGGCACUCCCUGUUGUGGAAGCUCGAGUGGAGAAACUGCUGGAGAAAAAAAAGUGAGAUUGGUUUGGCUUUCUCAUUUUGGGAGCUCCAAUUCUUCUAUUUUGACAGUUCCAAACCUCUUUGCUUUGGUAUAAUCAGGAAAAACAAAACAAAGAAUUACUUUUCUUUUUUUUAAUUUAUUUUUUUUUUCUCAGCACGGCCAGAAACUUUUUGAAGCUUCUCAAAGGCCUUGGAAUGCCUCAGGACCAAAAAAUAGAUUGCUGGAGUGGCUCAUUUCUGUGUCUCCAUAAACCCUACAGGUUUUGCACGUUCAUUUUUCAAGGAAUUCUUCUUCAUCAAAGGCUGACAAGUGGAGGGCAGCCAGAAAAGCCUGUCCUGGGUCUUCAGAGGGAUUUCUGUACUCCAGAAAAUCCAAUAUUCCAAAUCAUCCAGUCCACUUAAAGAAUUCAACUGAAAAGCAACCUCUGGUGUUACCUUGCCAGAGCUGAGAUAACCUGGGGAUAACCUCCAGGGCUUUAUUUCCAGCUGUGUUUCUGUCCUGCUGUGCAAUGUCUCUUGUGGGAAGCUCUCCUUUCAUUGCAGGAAGUGUUUUCCACUUCCUUCCCCUUCCUUCUCACCUUCUGGUUUCCUCCCCAGGUACAAGGAGGUUGUUCGGUACCUGAGAGCUGUGAAAUGCAGUGAAAACGGAAGGCUCCGCGACCUUCGGGACCUGAUCCCAUUCUACCUGUGCAAAACUGGGAAUUUCCUGGAUGCUGCCCAUUCCCUGCUGAUCCCUGUGAACAGCCUGGCCUGCUGCUCUGCCUGCAGGAUCACUCCCUGCCAGUUCAAGAUCUACCUCAAGAUCUUCAGGACAGGCUGUGUUCCCUCUGGGAAUGAGAUGCUGGAGACAGGGCCCUGGCUUACAGCUGGAUCUCCCCUGAGGAACACUGUGCUAAUUAAGCAGGCACUCAAACUGCUCUACAGCAGCGAGGCACUCUACAGGAACCCCAAAUGUUGGAGUUCGUUCAUCAUGAUUUUGGGGAGCAGCAAUUUGCUGGAGAAGAGGGGGCACCUGCUUCCCUUAUCCCUGAAGGAGCCCCCCCUUAGCUUCCAAGAGAAUGUGCUGGCUGCCAGUGCUAACUUCCUGAAGGAUCUCAAGUCUGGAGUUAAUGUCUCUUUACCAUCUGCUAUUUUCACUGGUGAGCUGCACCAUGAGGCUUCUUUCAUCCUGGCAGUGCAAGCAGUGCAGCAGAUGCUUUGUUGUGACCUGCCCCACUUGAAUUCCUUCAUAGAGCUAGUCCUGGCUUUUGGGAAAAACUUCUGGCCUCUGAGGCUGUUGCUGGACCAACUUUCCUAUGAGGAGCACAUCCUGUGUGGCACUGCCAACCUGCUUUUGAGGGAUCUGAGUCGGGAGAAAGCCAUGAUGCUGAGAGUAUGGGAGAACCUUGGUCCCCAGUACGUGGGGGAGUUCCUGUGCCUGUUCCUAACCUCCAGACACAAGAGGAUGCAAUCUGUGGGGCUCCUCAGCCUCAACAUGGUCAUAGAGAACCUGCACCUAUGUCCCUGGGCAAAGCAGCUCUGCACCUUUUUCCAUGAAUCAGGGUUGAGGCAGCUCCCCUUUGGCACCACAGUUCACCACGAAGUUUCCAAGUUUGUCAGUGCCUUUGAGAAGCUCUGAUUUGGACCAAAUCCUCAGGAAUGUUUUCCAUUUGGUUUUUUUUUGCAUCUGAGCAGUCUCUUCCUGGAGAGUUCCUUGGGUUUGCUGUUGUUGUUUCCUCCAGGAACAGUCAGCUAAAAACUGACUGUGCUGGCUCUGCAGUGGGAACAGAGCCACGUUUUGGGAGUUUGUUGGCAGUUCCACAUAUUAAGGAGUUGUUGGAAGAGGCAGCAGGUUGGAGUCGCUUCCAGAAGCUGAGAAAAGCAGGGAAACACAGAUGGAGCAGGAAGCAGCAAAGGAUUUUUCCUCCUGUUGGGACACAAACCAAACUGCUGAGAGGGAAAAGCUUUAACCCAGGAGAAGGAGCUGACAACUCCCUUUGCAGCAGUUUUGGGGUCAAGUGCUCUGAUUUUGGGUUUCAUUCUAAACCAGGAGGCUGGAAGAUAAAACUGAGCUUUACAACCCCAGGGUGGGGCAGCCAAGAGCUGAGUUUAUUUGAGAAUAAUCCUGAUUUCAGGCUGGGCUUUUAUUUUCUGCUGAGAAGAAGAUUUAGAUUGGUGCUGGUGCCUCUGUGAAUUUCCCAAAUCCUAAUUCUGGGGGGAAUUAGGAGUUCACUCCGACCUGGGGAGAUGAAAGAACCUUUUGGAGCCUGGUUUGGGCUCUGACCCUCUCUGCACUGCUUGGGCAAGCAGGAAAACAAACCUUAAUAUGUGACCAACUGCACUUUGCACAAUUCCAGGGGUCUGGGGGCUUCUGCACCUCCUGUCAGCCCAAAUUUCCUAAAAAAAAAAUGCACCUGGAUGGAAAUUGGACACCUUGGGAAUUAAAACUGUUCAAGUUUCAUUGUUGCAUUGGCAUUUUGGGUGGUUUUUUUUUUUGUUUUUUUGGUGGUUUAUUUGGGGUUUGGGUUUUUUUAUUUUUGGUUUUUGUUUAUUUGGAGUCUUCUGUGGUUUUAUUUAUUUUUUUUAAUUGGGUUUUGGUCCUGUUUCUUGGAGGGUUGUGGUGUUUUUGGUCCUGGUUU